GAUGAACGCUGGCGGCGUGCCUAAUACAUGCAAGUCGAGCGAACGGACGAGAAGUUUGUUUCUCUGAUGUUAGCGGCGGACGGGUGAGUAACACGUGGAUAACCUACCUAUAAGACUGGGAUAACUUCGGGAAACCGGAGCUAAUACCGGAUGAUAUUUUGAACCGCAUGGUUCAAAAGUGAAAGACGGUCUUGCUGUCACUUAUAGCUGGAUCCGCGCUGCAUUAGCUAGUUGGUAAGGUAACGGCUUACCAAGGCAACGAUGCGUAGCCGACCUGAGAGGGGGGUCGGCGACCCGGGAAGUGAGCCGCGGUCCAGACGACUACGGGAGGCAGCAGAAGCGAAUCGGACGCAACAGUCGAGAGCCUUACGGAGCGACGGCGAGUGAGUGAUGAAGGUGUCCGGUGCGGAAAACUGUGUUACUAGUGAAGAACAUAUGUGUAAGGAACUGUGCACAUCGUGACGGUACCUGAUCAGAAAGCCACGGCUAACUACGUG
rnacentral:rRNA from 1 species